UGCAGUGUACUGUAGCGGUAAAGAGCAUGGCUCAUAACCAGAAGGUCGCUGGUUCGACUCCCUGCUGGGGCAC